ACCGCGGUAGCCCAGUUGGUAGUGGCGUCCGCAGUACAGAUGCCGAAGGUCGCAGGUUCAAAUCCUGCCUGCGGUG